GGGGCUGCAAUGGUUUCGACGUGUUAGCGAAAACUGCUCCGUGAUUCAGGUCGAGAGUGGGUCUCCUCUCGUAAAUAUCGGCUCAAACAAAAAUGUAACUGCGAACAACAUUGUUCCUUUUGCUCGUAAAGCAGCUGCGGUUGCCUAAAAACCUCAUAUAGGUUCGAGCGUCUGUAGUUUGACUCCGUUAAGGACUGCGGACAAAACCCCAACGGAUGCGCUAGUCAGUUGUCUCUGGUAGACUAACUAGCAAAGAACUCACCAGAGCAUCCUGUCAUCCGGGAUAAUGGAUGGUUCCCGCCCCGAGGGUUAGAAGGGCUAAGCCUGUGAACGAUCGGAAAGUCAAUAACUGAUGCGGACGGCAGUUCGAUUCUGCCCAGCUCCACUU
rnacentral:tmRNA from 2 species